GACAAGACUCGAAGUCUCCCGGCCCUUGGACUUGGAUUCAGAAUGAUUGCCCACGUUGCUGACGCAUUUCACAGCCUUACUUACUUCUUCUACUGCUUCAUAGACCCCUCAGAUCACUCAUUUUGUAGGAUUCCUUGGAGUGGAGGUUGUUCAUCUUCUGGUUUGUGAUCUAGUUUUGUGAAAGUCCCAGUAGGAUUUAGUAACUGGGUAGGUGUGGGUCGUUAAAUAUGGACUUAGGAUUUUAUCUUGCGGCCGAAGAUGGUUACCUCUACGGGCGUUAGUUGUGGAUGGUGCUGGGACCUUGUUUGACAGGGAGAACCUCCUCAGUACGCCUUCUGCAUUUCUGUGGCGCUACUAUGUAAACAGAGGCCUUCCCGAGGGUUAUAACUGAAUUAUUUCGUGGCUUCGGAAGCAAGGCUAGAUGAAGAUGGAACACAUAAAGCUGUUCUGGACUUCUUUGUCGAACAAACAUGCACUACCAACUGACAGUCUUCUCUGCAUCCUCACUUACGCUCUCUGAGUUUUGAUAAAGAUGACGGGAGUAGUAUCCUUGGCUGGGUUCUACUCUAGCACUACGGAGCGACCUCGGUAUCCAGGUGAUGCGCUUGUGGCCGUAGAAUCCUAUGCAAACGUCAAAGAUUGCCGAGCACAUGUGGCGAAUCCCUUGCACAGUCGUGUGCUGCGGAUACGCCCAUGAACUCGAGGUCGCAUAUUCCAUUGCCCUAGGAAGUAACGUCGUUGCAAUUACCCUCUGGGACACACCAUGCCACCUACAGAUUAUACACAGAUAAUAUAACAUGAACGAGAGCAGAGAAGUCGAUAAUUAAACCAUAUUAGAUACCAUUUACCCGAUCGUGGACACUUUCGGGUGUUGACGAUCUGUUAAGUAUAAUGACCUCGACUCAGAUUGUUUGUAUUCUGUACAUGAAGUUCAAGUCAUUGAUUUCCCCAAGAACUGAUCUCUCGUCAGUUACAGGUAGAUUACAGGCAUCAUUUCUAGGUGGUGAGCCACUGAUUGUUUGAUGGCAGCAGGUUCAAUCCAUGGUGCGAUAUCAUACAUCAGUGACUUGAUUUUUGGAUGCGUGGACUUACAGAGAUAUCUGUGCCAACUUCGUGAAUGAGAGAUUUCCUAUCGCUGAGUCAUGUUACGCCCUCAAUAAUCCAGAUUUGAUGGCGAUUGAAAUUCCUUACGAACGCAUCUACCGUUGUCCAUAGAACCGUUUCGCACUAUUUUUAAGAUUCUAUUGUAACACAUGAUUCCACUGUUGAUUAGAAAGAGUCGUCUACAUUGACCACGCACCUUAGAGUAUUUUUAUACUGCCACUCAUUGAGGCACAAUAAACAUGUCAAGCGGAGUAAGUGAACCGUCCGGAAGGAACUUGAUCAAGCCUUCUAAUCAUCUCAAAUGAACAAUCUCAAACUGUGGAUAUGCACUUCCGAGAGAAAUAUUAGAUAUAUAUACAUACAUGGGGAAGGAUCUGUCCAAAUUGUUCAGGAUCCCGCAACUACUGUUGAAGUACCUUGAUACUUUCGAUCAAUGUUCAUGUGAAAAGUAUGGUGGAAAACGGUUCGGUAUUAGCUACACCUACAAGUGUGGAAUUUGAUGUAGUGGGGGUGCGGGCACACUUAAGUAAAAACGAUUUUAUCACAUCAAU